rnacentral:rRNA from 1 species
UGUGAGGCAGCGCUGGAGUAGCAUAUGCUUGUGUCAAAGAUUAAGCCAUGCAAGUGUAAGCCCACACGGCUGGAACAGUGAAGCUGCGAAAGGCUCAUUAAAUCAGUUAUGGUUACUUUGAUCGUUCAACCGCUACUCGGAAAACUGUGGCAAUUCUAGACAUGCCCAACGAGCGCUGACCCUUGCGGGGAUGCGUUCAUUCAUCAGAUCUAAUCGUUUUGGUGACUCUAGAUAACCCCGGGCCGAUUGCUAGCCCGCCGCGGCGGUGACGACUCCUUCGAAUGUCUGCCCUAUCAACUUUCGAUAGUAUUUCUUGUGCCUACCACGGGGACCGCCGGUAACGGGCAAUCAGGGUUCGAUUCCGGAGAGGGAGCCUGAGAAAUGGCUACCUCGUCCAGGGAAGACAGCAGGCGCGCGUGGGGGUAGUGAUGAAAAAUAACAAGACUCUUUCGAGGCCCUGUAAUUGGAAUGAGUACACUUUAAAUCCUAUAAAGAGUACCAAUUGUAGGGCAAGUCUGGUGCCAGCACCCGCGGUAUUUCUAGCUCCAAUAGCGUAUCUUAAAGUUGCUGCAGUUAAAACGCUCGUAGUUGGAUUUCAGGGCCGGGCUGACGGUCCGGUUCGAGGCGUGACACCGAACGGGCCCCUGCCCUCUCCUCGUCCCCUCGAUGCUCUUGACUGAGUGAAUUUGAAAAAAAUUGAGUAUUCAAAGCAGCACCGGUUGCACCGAAUACUGCAGCUAGGAAUAAUGGAAUACGACUCCGGUUCUAUUUUGUGUGUUUUCUUUCUGAAGUGGGGCCAUGAUUAAGAGGGAUGGCCGGGGGCAUUCGUAUUACGCCGCUAGGGGUGAAAUUCCUGGACCGGGGCAAGAGGGACGAAAGCAAAAGCAUUUGCCAAGAAUGUUUUCAUUAAUCAAGAGUACGGGGGAGUAUGGUUGCAACGCUGAAACUUAAAGGAAUUGACUGCACCACCAGGAGUGGAGCCUGCGGCUUAAUUUGACUCAACGUGGGAAACCUCACCCGGCCCAGACACGGAAAGGGUGGACAGGUUGAUAGCUCUUUCUCGAUCCUGUGGGUGGUGGUGCAUGGCAGUUGUGGUGGAACGAUUUCUUCGAGGACAAGUGGUGUACACGAGAUUGAGCAAUAACAAGUCUGUGAUGCCCUUAGAUAUCCGGGGCCGCACGGGCGCCACAGCGAGCGGAUCAGCGUGUGCCUACCCGUCGCCAACGGGGUAACCCGCUGAACCCCGUGAUGGGGAUUGGUCAUUGCAACUGUUUCCCAUGAACGAGGAAUUCCCAGUAAGCACGGGUCAUAGGCUUGUGUUGAUUAAGUCCCUGCCCUUUGAGCCCUUCGGUAGUAGCCCGUCGCUACUACCGAUUGGAUUGGAUUGCUUAGUGAGGUCCGAUCGGCCCCGCCGGAGGCCUCCGCGGCUCUGGCUCGGGGUGCAGAGAAGAUGAUCGAAACUUGACCUUGUAGAGGAAGUAAAAGUCUUUUCAGGUGAACGUGCGGAAG